GCCACUACCACCAGGCAACAUCCUGAGAGGAUCCGCUAUCAUCUAAGUUUCUCACCUUGACACAAAGCCUUGUUUGGCCCUCCCUAGUUAUACUUCUGGGUUUUUUCUUAAGUCUCUGUUGUUUUUUUUUUUCCCUCAGUCUUUGCAACAGUACUAAGUUUAAUGCCACAUCAGACUGAAUAUUUCUCUUUGAAUCAGCUGCCUAAAUCACCUUUGCUGACAUCUGCAAUCAUGAGAUUCAGACCCUGAAAAUACUGACUGCAAUUAGGACUUCCAAAUCAGGGUACAUCAAGGAAGAGAAAAUGGAAACUCAUGGGACAAACACAUGGCCUUCCAUUGUUCAGUUCCAAAGCACAAACAAAGAAGAUGAUUUUUCAAAUAUUGAACUGACAAAGGAUAACUCUGAGCUCUAUUUUGGGCGCCACCACCACCAUAAUAAAGUUGGUAUUCCAAGAAGCCAAGGAUGUUCAUGCAGAAGGAAGCUACAAAGGAGUAUGCUUUAUCAUUCCAGGAAUCUCAAAGGUUGGGAAUGAAAUGAGUAUUUUUUGGUGUUUUGGUUUUGUUAACACACUGGAUCAGGGGU
rnacentral:lncRNA from 1 species